AUGAACGCUGGCGGCGUGCCUAAUACAUGCAAGUCGAGCGAACAGACGAGGAGCUUGCUCCUCUGACGUUAGCGGCGGACGGGUGAGUAACACGUGGAUAACCUACCUAUAAGACUGGGAUAACUUCGGGAAACCGGAGCUAAUACCGGAUAAUAUAUUGAACCGCAUGGUUCAAUAGUGAAAGACGGUUUUGCUGUCACUUAUAGAUGGAUCCGCGCCGCAUUAGCUAGUUGGUAAGGUAACGGCUUACCAAGGCAACGAUGCGUAGCCGACCUGAGAGGGUGAUCGGCCACACUGGAACUGAGACACGGUCCAGACUCCUACGGGAGGCAGCAGUAGGGAAUCGUCCGCAAUGGGCGAAAGCUUGACGGAGCAACGCCGCGUGAGUGAUGAAGGUCUUCGGAUCGUAAAACUCUGUUAUUAGGGAAGAACAAAUGUGUAAGUAACUAUGCACGUCUUGACGGUACCUAAUCAGAAAGCCACGGCUAACUACG
rnacentral:rRNA from 1 species